rnacentral:rRNA from 1 species
GAGGAAUAUUGGUCAAUGGGCGGAAGCCUGAACCAGCCAUCCCGCGUGCAGGAUGACAGCCCUAGAGGUUGUAAACUGCUUUUCUGCAGGAAGAAUAAGGACUACGCGUAGUUCGAUGACUGUACUGUAGGAAUAAGCAUCGGCUAACUCCGUGCCAGCAGCCGCGGUAAUACGGAGGAUGCAAGCGUUAUCCGGAUUUAUUAGGUUUAAAGGGUGCGUAGGCGGAGAUUUAAGUCAGUGGUAAAAGGCAAUAGCUUAACUAUUGUAAGCCAUUGAUACUGGGUUUCUUGAGUUCGGUAGAGGUAGGCGGAAUGUGUUGUGUAGCGGUGAAAUGCAUAGAUAUAACACAGAACACCGAUUGCGAAGGCAGCUUACUAUGCCGUUACUGACGCUGAUGCACGAAAGCGUGGGGAUCAAAC